rnacentral:rRNA from 1 species
GGCCUGCGGAGGGAUCAUUGCUGGAACGCGCCCCAGGCGCACCCAGAAACCCUUUGUGAACUUAUACCUUACUGUUGCCUCGGCGCUAGCUGGUCCUUCGGGGCCCCUCACCCUCGGGUGUUGAGACAGCCCGCCGGCGGCCAACCUAACUCUUGUUUUUACACUGAAACUCUGAGAAUAAAACAUAAAUGAAUCAAAACUUUCAACAACGGAUCUCUUGGUUCUGGCAUCGAUGAAGAACGCAGCGAAAUGCGAUAAGUAAUGUGAAUUGCAGAAUUCAGUGAAUCAUCGAAUCUUUGAACGCACAUUGCGCCCUCUGGUAUUCCGGAGGGCAUGCCUGUUCGAGCGUCAUUUCAACCCUCAAGCCUGGCUUGGUGAUGGGGCACUGCCUGUAAAAGGGCAGGCCCUGAAAUUCAGUGGCGAGCUCGCCAGGACCCCGAGCGCAGUAGUUAAACCCUCGCUCUGGAAGGCCCUGGCGGUGCCCUGCCGUUAAACCCCCAACUUCUGAAAAUUUGACCUCGGAUCAGGUAGGAAUACCCGCUGAACUUAAGCAUAUCAAA